rnacentral:tRNA from 1 species
GAUAGCUCAAUGGUAGAGCAUCCGGCUGUUAACCGGAGGGUUGUAGGUUCGAGCCCUACUC